GACGAACGCUGGCGGCGUGCUUAACACAUGCAAGUCGAGCGAUGAAACUUCCUUCGGGAAGUGGAUUAGCGGCGAACGGGUGAGUAACACGUGAGUAACCUGCCUCAAAGAGGGGGAUAGCCUUCCGAAAGGAAGAUUAAUACCGCAUAAUAUAUAGAAAACACAUGUUUUCUAUAUCAAAGGAGCAAUCCGCUUUGAGAUGGACUCGCGGCGCAUUAGCUAGUUGGUAGGGUAACGGCCUACCAAGGCGACGAUGCGUAGCCGACCUGAGAGGGUGAUCGGCCACAUUGGGACUGAGACACGGCCCAGACUCCUACGGGAGGCAGCAGUGGGGAAUAUUGCGCAAUGGGCGAAAGCCUGACGCAGCAACGCCGCGUGGGUGAUGACGGUCUUCGGAUUGUAAAACCCUGUCUUCAGGGACGAUAAUGACGGUACCUGAGGAGGAAGCCACGGCUAACUACGUG
rnacentral:rRNA from 1 species